CAGUAAAUAGUUUAAUUAAAAUAUUAAUUUUGGAGAUUAAUGAUGAGUAUUUUAUUCUUUACUGA
rnacentral:tRNA from 2 species